rnacentral:rRNA from 1 species
GGUGUUCGGGAGGUUCCGCUUUCUCGUCGCGGCCGCUCCUGUCCCAGUUCGUCUUGAACGGGGCCGUUUUCCCGUAGAGGGUGCCAGGCCCGUAGCGACGGAGGACCGCGGCGAGAGGGACUCUCCUUAGAGUCGGGUUGCUUGAGAGUGCAGCCCUAAGUGGGUGGUAAACUCCAUCUAAGGCUAGAUAUUACCGCGAGACCGAUAGCGAAC